rnacentral:lncRNA from 1 species
CAAAGACUCUGGAGUUCGUCAUACACUAGACAUGUGGCAUGGAUCGAAAAACUUGGGAAAGAAGAUCCACCAGGUAAUAAAGAUUACACUGCUACUGUAUUUUAGAAGUGAAAAGUUUGUCAUUGCAAAUGGUCCAUAAUUUCUAUUUUGUUUGCUUAGGCAGCGCAAAGAAGAGGCUGUGCAAUUCUUUUUGCAUGGUCGAAGGACAUAUGUAACCACUUCUGGUUUUGCGCGAAGUCUGCUGCAACAUAUGAUGAGUUCUUUGUAAGUCUGCUGUUCUAUUAUUAUUAUUAUUAUUGCAAAUUUGUACUGACUGCUAUGUUGCAUUACUUAGACUGUAUUACAUGGUUCUGUUUCUGUAGGAAAUGUGGACAGGGGUUCUUCACCAUGUCACUGGAGAACAUGAAUGGGUUCUCGGCGCAUGUCAUCAUGGUCCGUUGUUAGAAGACAGAGACAAAGCUUGGAUUACCAAAGGAUCAGUGGCACAUGAAGCACUGAUUGCCAUCGUUCUGAAUGUGAGGUGGCUAAAAGAGGUUGAGAAGUUUCUCUGUUUUAGAUCCACUGCUGAGCUGGAAUCUUUUCACAAUCACAUUCUUAUGUAUGCUGGAAAAAGAUUCUACUUUGUUUGGCCAGUCUACAGAGCACGG